rnacentral:rRNA from 1 species
AGCAGCCGCGGUAAUACGGAGGGUGCGAGCGUUGCUCGGAAUCACUGGGCGUAAAGCGUACGCAGGCUGCUUCGUGAGUCGGGUGUGAAAGCCCGGGGCUCAACCCCGGAAUUGCGCCCGAUACUGCGGGGCUUGAAGUCGGGAGAGGGAAGCGGAAUUCCUGGUGUAGAGGUGAAAUUCGUAGAUAUCAGGAGGAACACCGGUGGCGAAAGCGGCUUCCUGGCCCGAUAUUGACGCGCAUGUACGAGAGCGUGGGGAGCAAACA